rnacentral:misc_RNA from 1 species
AACGCAAGUUGCGCCUGAAGCCUUAUGGCUGAGGGCACGCCUGCCUGGGUGUCACUCAACAUUCCGCCCACACCGUCGGUCUCCCUCUCACGGGCCUGCGACAUGGUGGGGAGUGGACGAUGGCCUCCCGUGGCCUCUUGGCUGUGGCUGGCCGAAAAAAUGAGCGAUGGAGCGAUGCUCUCCGCGACGCACGGUGGUGGUAUCAACUUCCCUCGGCAGGCAGUCGGGAGUCAUCUCUCCUAGGUUCUCAAAGGGGCCUCUAUCAUCGAGACACAUGCGACCCCAGGUCAGGCGGGGCCACCCGCUGAGUUUAA